rnacentral:tRNA from 1 species
AAUAACGUGGCUUAGUGGAAGAGCCUGGACUUCGGAGUCAGAGGUCAUGGGUUCGACUCCCGACGCUGUCA